UACGGGGGGGGCAAGCGUUGUUCGGAAUUACUGGGCGUAAAGGGCUCGUAGGCGGCCAACUAAGUCAGACGUGAAAUCCCUCGGCUUAACCGGGGAACUGCGUCUGAUACUGGAUGGCUUGAGUUUGGGAGAGGGAUGCGGAAUUCCAGGUGUAGCGGUGAAAUGCGUAGAUAUCUGGAGGAACACCGGUGGCGAAGACGGCCACCUGGACGGUAACUGACGCUGAAGGCGCGAAAGCGUGGGGAGCAAACAGG
rnacentral:rRNA from 1 species